AUGUUGAUCUAAUUCCCUCU
rnacentral:miRNA from 1 species